rnacentral:rRNA from 1 species
GAUGAACGCUGGCGGCGUGCUUAUCACAUGCAAGUCGAACGAAGCACUUAAUUACGAAUUCUUCGGAAGGACGAUUUAGUGACUGAGUGGCGGACGGGUGAGUAACGCGUGGGUAACCUGCCUCAUACAGGGGGAUAACAGUUGGAAACGACUGCUAAUACCGCAUAAGCGCACAGAGUCGCAUGACUCAGUGUGAAAAACUCCGGUGGUACAGGAUGGACCCGCGUCUGAUUAGAUAGUUGGUGAGGUAACGGCCCACCAAGUCAACGAUCAGUAGCCGGCCUGAGAGGGUGAACGGCCACAUUGGGACUGAGACACGGCCCAAACUCCUACGGGAGGCAGCAGUGGGGAAUAUUGCACAAUGGGGGAAACCCUGAUGCAGCGACGCCGCGUGAGUGAAGAAGUAUUUCGGUAUGUAAAGCUCUAUCAGCAGGGAAGAAAAUGACGGUACCUGACUAAGAAGCCCCGGCUAACUACGUG